rnacentral:rRNA from 1 species
UAAACGGACCAUCGAGUAUCCAUUGGAGGGCAAGUCUGGUGCCAGCAGCUGCGGUAAUACCAGCUCCAAUAGCGUAUAUUAAAGUUGUUGCAGUUAAAAAGCUCGUAGUUGGACUUGUGUGCGCUGUCCGCGGGUGGCCUGCGCCCAAAAGGGCGUUUCGGUUCGGCCCCGGUGGCGCCUUGAAAUCUGCAGCUGGGGGGACGUUGGCCUUAACUGGUCGGCGACCGCACGCCGGCUGCUCAGUUACUGUGAGAAAAUUAGAGUGUUCAAGGCAGGCAUUGGGUGCAAUUGAAUACAUUAGCAUGGAAUAAUAAAAUAUGGCUCCUGCCGUAUUUUGUUGGUUUUGACUGGUGGGAGUAAUGAUUGAUAGGGACGGUUGGGGGUGCUAGUAUUGAGCGGCCAGAGGUGAAAUUCAUGGAUUCGCUCAAGACUAACUUAUGCGAAAGCAUUCACCAAGGACGUCCUCUUUAAUCAAGAACGAAAGUUGGGGGAUCGAAGACGAUCAGAUACCGUCGUAGUCUCAACCAUAAACUAUGUCGACUUGGGAUCGGCGGUAGUUUUUUCAUUAAGACACUGUCGGGACCACGGGAGAAAUCAAAGUGUCUGGACUCUGGGGGAAGUAUGGUCGCAAGGCUGAAACUUGAAGGAAUUGACGGAAGGGCACCACCAGGAGUGGAGCCUGCGGCUUAAUUUGACCCAACACGGGGAAACUUACCAGGUCCAGAGAUGUAGAGGAUUGACAGAUUGAAGCUCUUUCUUGAUCGCUUCGGUGGUGGUGCAUGGCCGUUCUUAGUUGGUGGAGUGAUUUGUCUGGUUAAUUCCGUUAACGAACGAGACCUCAGCCUGCUAGUGUAGUCGGCUGGAUUGCCUUUGGCGAUCCGUGAUUUCGACUUCUUAGAGGGACAAUCGACGCGCAGUCGAUGGAAGUUUGAGGCAAUAACAGGUCUGUGAUGCCCUUAGAUGUUCUGGGCCGCACGCGCGCUACACUGCUGGGCUCAGCGAGUUUUACUUGGCCGAGAGGCCCGGUUAAUCUUGUGAAAUCCCAGCGUUCUUGGGCUCGCCUCCUGCAACUGGAGGCGCCAACGAGGAAUUCCUAGUAGACGCAGGUCAUCAACCUGCAUCGAUUACGUCCCUGCCCUUUGUACACACCGCCCGUCGUUCCAUAAGAGUGAGGCAUCCGGUGAAUUCUCGGGAGAGCCUGGGCGUGGCCAGCAAUGGUCUGCUCGGGUUUGAACUUGCAUAAACUUGGUGCCUAUGAUUAGGG